rnacentral:piRNA from 1 species
UCAUCCAAUCAGAAUUCACACACGGUU